GAUCGCACAGACAGAGAAGCAGCAGAGCCACUACGGUCCUCAUGGUCCCACCGUCUGCUGCGUGACGCAGGGCAGAGAGGAAGCACAAGAGAAGAACGAGAAACAAACGAUGGCAGAAGAAGAACUCAGAUUGAGGGACAGAGGAUGAGACGAUGAGCACAGCGACUAGAAGGAGACGCCUUGAAAAAAAGGCUGACCUUUUUCUCAUAGGAGCAGUCCCCGUCUGGCGAGUCUGACGUCAGAAACACAAGCAGAGUUUUCGUCUCAUUAAACAAACUCGUUAACUCCUUUAA